rnacentral:rRNA from 1 species
CUGAUAAGAUUGCUCCGUUCAAAGGCCAAUGGUUGGUACAUAGCUGAGCAUCGUGAGCAGCACAACCACUCGUUGUGUCCAACAUAUGGGCAGACAAUACACUGGCAUUUGCACAAGCACAUUGAUGUCUACAGCAGAGAUCUGGUUGAGCAGUUGCGCCAGAACAAUGUGAACCUAGCAAAAGUACACAGCAUUAUUGGAAGUUUUUUUGGCUCAAUGGAGAAGCCCCCCCCCUUUACAAAAAGAGCUCUGAAAAAUUUGUGUGGCAAAAUCACCAGGGUGUGGGCUGAAGAUGAUGUGGAAACUAUGGAGGUUUUCGCAGAACUCAGUUCAAGAGAUCGCCACUUCACUUAUCGUGUGCAAGCAGACAACGAUGGUCCGAUAACAAAUUUGAUGUGGGCGAAUGUGAGCAGCAGGUUGCAGCACACAUUCUUUGGAGACAUCGUUACUUUCGAUACGACUUACAGAACAAACAUGUACAACAUGCCAUUUGGUCUAUUCGUCAGUGUGAACAAUCAUUUUCAGAGUAUCAUCCUAGCUGGGGUUUUGGUUCGUCAUGAAUAAGAGAAAACAUUUGAGUAGGUUUUCACGGAGUUUGUUAGGAUGAUGGGAGUGAGUGCGCCCAAAACAAUUCUGACAUAUCAAUGCUGCGCAAUGGAGUUUGCCAUAAAAAUGGAAUGCCUCAGACUGGUGCAUCGAUGGUUCAAGUGGCACGUGUUAAAAAAGGCAAAAGAAUCACUCAAUUCAUUGUACACCAAGAAGAGUGAGUUCAGGGCAGAGUUCCACAAGGUAGUGAAUCACAUGCUUACAAUCGACAAAUUCGAGGAAGCUUGGAAGAUCUUGGUGGAGAAAUACAAUCUAAAGACUCACUCAUACAUGACGCAACUGUAUGAAAUACGGCAUAAGUGGGAGAAGCCAUAUUUCAAAGGUGUUUUCUGUGCAAAGAUGACCAGCACACAGCGCAGUGAACGUACAAACAACAUGCUGAAGAAUAAUGUUCCACCGGGUUGUCCAGUGAAUAUGUUUAUCAAGAAGUACAUGAGACUUCAGUUUGACAGGGAAGCAGAGGAGAACUACGAGGAGAAACAGACACAAAUAGAGAUACCACAGAAACACAUCGUCAAGCGGUGGACCAGAGAUGCACGCGACAUACUACCGCCUCACCUUACUUAAUAUCUGAGAGAUAAUGCCCACAAUAACCCAUUCAGCUUCAGGCAUUUCAACAUGUACAUGCAUGCCAUGGAGCUGGCGCGGAUGGGUGACACAAGUGUUGAGGCCUGUGAGAAAUUCAUGUCUCUCAGUAAGAGUUGCUUGAUAUAG